AGAGUUUGAUCAUGGGCUCAGAGCGAACGCUGGCGGCAGGCCUAACACAUGCAAGUCGAACGAACUCUUCGGAGUUAGUGGCGGACGGGUGAGUAACACGUGGGAACGUGCCUUUAGGUUCGGAAUAACUCAGGGAAACUUGUGCUAAUACCGAAUGUGCCCUUCGGGGGAAAGAUUUAUCGCCUUUAGAGCGGCCCGCGUCUGAUUAGCUAGUUGGUGAGGUAAAGGCUCACCAAGGCGACGAUCAGUAGCUGGUCUGAGAGGAUGAUCAGCCACAUUGGGACUGAGACACGGCCCAAACUCCUACGGGAGGCAGCAGUGGGGAAUCUUGCGCAAUGGGCGAAAGCCCUGACGCAGCCAUGCCGCGUGAAUGAUGAAGGUCUUAGGAUUGUAAAAUUCUUUCACCGGGGACGAUAAUGACGGUACCCGGAGAAGAAGCCCCGGCUAACUUCGUG
rnacentral:rRNA from 1 species